rnacentral:rRNA from 1 species
UAACACGUAGGGACCAAGCGUUGUCCGGAUUUAUUGGGCGUAAAGCGCUCGUAGGCGGUUCGGUAAGUCGGGUGUGAAACCCCUGGGCUCAACCCGGGGACGCCACCCGAUACUGCUGUGACUCGAGUUCGGUAGGGGAGCGGGGAAUUCCUGGUGUAGCGGUGAAAUGCGCAGAUAUCAGGAGGAACACCGGUGGCGAAGGCGCCGCUCUGGGCCGAUACUGACGCUGAGGAGCGAAAGCGUGGGGAGCAAACAGGAUUAGAUACCCUGGUAGUCCACGCCGUAAACGUUGGGCACUAGGUGUGGGUCCUUAUCAACGGGAUCCGUGCCGUCGCUAACGCAUUAAGUGCCCCGCCUGGGGAGUACGGCCGCAAGGCUA